AUUCAGCUGAAGAGUUCCAAGUAGGACGAAACGUGUGUCAAACUGGAU
rfam:Schistosoma rodhaini strain Burundi genome assembly, scaffold: SROB_scaffold0000445